rnacentral:hammerhead_ribozyme from 1 species
AUAACUGGAAGAGUCCCAAAUAGGACGAAAUGCGCAUCCUGGAU